rnacentral:rRNA from 1 species
UACGGGGGGGGCAAGCGUUGUUCGGAAUUACUGGGCGUAAAGGGCUCGUAGGCGGCCAACUAAGUCGGAUGUGAAAUCCCCAGGCUCAACCUGGGAACUGCAUCCGAUACUGGAUGGCUUGAAUCCGGGAGAGGGAUGCAGAAUUCCAGGUGUAGCGGUGAAAUGCGUAGAUAUCUGGAGGAAUACCGGUGGCGAAGGCGGCAGCCUGGACCGGCAUUGACGCUGAGGAGCGAAAGCCAGGGGAGCAAACGGG